CCUACGGGUGGCAGCAGUCGAGAAUCAUUCACAAUGGGGGAAACCCUGAUGGUGCGACGCCGCGUGGGGGAAUGAAGGUCUUCGGAUUGUAAACCCCUGUCAUGUGGGAGCAAAUUAAAAAGAUAGUACCACAAGAGGAAGAGACGGCUAACUCUGUGCCAGCAGCCGCGGUAAUACAGAGGUCUCAAGCGUUGUUCGGAAUCACUGGGCGUAAAGCGUGCGUAGGCUGUUUCGUAAGUCGUGUGUGAAAGGCGCGGGCUCAACCCGCGGACGGCACAUGAUACUGCGAGACUAGAGUGAUGGGGGGGGAACCGGAAUGCUCGGUGUAGCAGUGAAAUGCGUAGAUAUCGAGAGGAACACUCGUGGCGAAGGCGGGUUCCUGGACAGUAACUGACGCUGAGGCACGAAGGCCAGGGGAGCGAAAGGGAUUAGAUACCCUUGUAGUC
rnacentral:rRNA from 1 species